rnacentral:rRNA from 1 species
GAGUUUGAUCCUGGCUCAGAACGAACGCUGGCGGCAGGCUUAACACAUGCAAGUCGAGCGCCCCGCAAGGGGAGCGGCAGACGGGUGAGUAACGCGUGGGAAUCUACCUUUUGCUACGGAAUAACGCAGGGAAACUUGUGCUAAUACCGUAUGUGUCCUUCGGGAGAAAGAUUUAUCGGCAAGAGAUGAGCCCGCGUUGGAUUAGCUAGUUGGUGGGGUAAAGGCCUACCAAGGCGACGAUCCAUAGCUGGUCUGAGAGGAUGAUCA